UGCAUGAAAACAGAAAGAAGUAUUAUCACUACAAGCUCUGGAGUUAAGUUAACUUCACGUGUUGACAGUCCACCGCCACGCACAGGAUGCUGGCGUUUCUGCUGCUGUCCGCAGCCGGCCUUUUCUACUCAAGAUGUUCUUUGAUCGGAUUGGAUCAGACAAAGAGAAGAUUGCAACUGUCAUAUGGAAAUUGGGACCAUUAUUAUUGAUCAACAUAAAACAGCACAUCAUCCGUCACAGGAUGGUAAAAAGGAAUAGCUCGAAUCAUUAUAUUGUUCAUUCAUGGUAUAUAAUUAAUCCUGUGCUCAAAAUUUUAAGUGUCACUGGAAAAGGUAUGAACACUUCAUUGCAAUGAUUGUGUUACUUGCCUACAAGUUAAAAAUAAGAGCACAUCUGAUUGAUCAUAGAAAUUUGACAUAAUAGUGGAUGUUUUUAGCAAAGAUCAGUGUCUUGCUUCUCUUGGGCUGGGCCUAAUUAUUAUUUCCCAACAGAAUACAAUGACAUACACAUUAGCACAUGUUUGACAUAGGCUUUACACAUGCAAUGAGGCAAUUGUUGAUUAUGUUUUAGUGCCACAAAUAUUCAAGUUCAAACUGAACAUUUUUUAAGUGAUGUAUAUUAAAACAUGAAUUGGAUGCAUCCUAGCAAAAAGAAUGUAGAGAGUUUGGAUGAUUGAGCUUUGACACGUAACUAAACAAAGCAUUAUUUGGAUAUGUACGGAGUUAUUCGUUUUCUUUUU